AAUGAACGUUGGCGGCGUGGAUUAGGCAUGCAAGUCGAGCGAGAACCCCGCAAGGGGGACGAGCGGCGCAAGGGACGAGUAAUGUGUAGAUCAUCUGCCCUCCAGGUCCGGGACUAGCCGGCGGGAAACGUGCGGGUAAGUACCGGAUAAUAUCUCCGGAUCAAAGGUGUGAUUCCACCUGAGGAUGAGUCUGCAUCCUAUUAGCUUGUU
rnacentral:rRNA from 1 species